rnacentral:rRNA from 1 species
CUACGGGGUGCACCAGUUAGGAAUUUUUUGCAAUGCGCGAAAGCGUGACAAAGUGAGUCAGAGUGUUUUUCAUAUGAAAAACUUUUGUGAAAUGUAAAAAGUUUCACGAAUAAGGACUGGGCAAGACGAGUGCCAGCCGCCGCGGUAAUACUCGCGGUCCAAGUCGCAGCCAUCUUUAUUGGGUCUAAAACAUCCGUAGCUUGCUUAAUAAGUUUUUUGUGAAAUUCUAUAUCUAAAAUAUAGAGCGCGCAAAAAGUACUAUUUUGCUAGAGACUGGUAGGCGUAAAAAGUAUGUUCAGAGUAGCGGUAAAAUGUGUUGAUCCCGGACAGACUAACAACAGCGAAGGCAUUUUACGAGAACAGUUCUGACAGUAAAGGAUGAAGGCCAGGGGCGCAAAUUGGAUUAGAUACCCGCGUAGUC